AUAAACCUGGAAGGGGAGAAACAAUGAUCGUGAAAGUUGUGCUCCCAGGGUGAGGCUAUCCCAUUGCACUCUGGGUGAGCUGACACCUGCGAUGUCCCCAAAUAUGGGAUACUCAGCUGCAAAGUUUGUAGUAGUGGGGGACUGUAUUCGCGCUUUCCCCUG